rnacentral:rRNA from 1 species
CCUACGGGGCGCUGCAGUGGGGAAUAUUGGACAAUGGGCGCAAGCCUGAUCCAGCCAUGCCGCGUGUGUGAAGAAGGCCUUCGGAUUGUAAAGCACUUUCAGUGGGGAAGAAAGCCUUGGGGCUAAUACCCUCGAGGAAGGACAUCACCCACAGAAGAAGCACCGGCUAACUCCGUGCCAGCAGCCGCGGUAAUACGGAGGGUGCGAGCGUUAAUCGGAAUUACUGGGCGUAAAGCGCGCGUAGGCGGUCUGAUAAGCCGGUUGUGAAAGCCCCGGGCUCAACCUGGGAACGGCAUCCGGAACUGUCAGGCUAGAGUGCAGGAGAGGAAGGUAGAAUUCCCGGUGUAGCGGUGAAAUGCGUAGAGAUCGGGAGGAAUACCAGUGGCGAAGGCGGCCUUCUGGACUGACACUGACGCUGAGGUGCGAAAGCGUGGGUAGCAAACAGGAUUAGAUACCCUUGUAGUC